CACUGCCUUGACCACCUCGACGGCGACGACCACUGCGCCGGCGACCUCUACCACCACCUUGACCACCGCCCUUGCCUCUUCCCUCUGCAGCAACAUUGUCGCUGUCAGGAUGUCCUGGAGUAACAACAUCAAGGGGAAGUUCAAUCGCUAAAGUGUCAAGUACCGUUUCUUGAAUUGUCAUCAACGAUUCAAGAUCAGAAACCGUGGCAUCUUCACGUGCAUGAAUGAUCGCUCGCAAAGAUUCAUACUUUUCCGGCAAUCCUUCCAAGAUGGC
rnacentral:lncRNA from 1 species